UGUACAUCGGAAAGUGGGUUUGACAAUAAACAAAGAAAAUAAAUGAUACUUACCCAAAUUUCUGAAAAAAAGCGUAAUUGUAUAUGUUGCUUAUAAGCUUUCUAACAUCAAUCUCAUUUCAUAAUCUCCCAAUAAGUUAAAAAAUUUACAGCAACGUGCUAACAGUAUGGAUCUAUCGGUCGUUACAUUUUAGGGUUCGCAGUUGAUUUCUACUUUAUACAAGAACGAAAAUUUAAAUGAAGCCUUUAUUUUACAAAACCUUUGAGUCAGUGAUCGGUGCAUCUCAUUUCUCAAAAAUGUAAAAACUAACUCCCAAGGCGAGACUCGAACUCGCAACCUUCUGAUGACCAUCAUAAGAGUCAGACGCUCUAAACCGAUUGAGCCACUCGGGACUUGCUUGUUCAUUACGAGAUUAAGUACAUAAUAUAUAUUUUACAAAAUGUAGUGUCUUUUAAUUGUUAAUAGUCAGAAUGUCUUUUUACUAAACAUUCGUUGACAUUUUAUUGUGAAGCUUAAUGUUGAUUAAAAUGUCUGUACGCCAAAUUAUUUUUGAGGCUUCAUAGCUUAGGCUAGUGGGUGGGUUGCGAAAACGAAUGCAUUGACUGGUUUGAAAUUGGUAUUUAUUCUUUAUUUAGA